GAACCCAGAACAGUGAAUCCAGAAGAAAUUGGCAUAUUCUCUGGGCUUUGAUCCACUAACUACAUAUUAAAAGUUCCCCCUCAGUCUAUGUAGAGCUGACCAGGGAAGAACACUUUGGAGGGCUGUUGGAACAAGGGAAGUAACCUCAAAUGCUCCAGGGGACUGCUUUGAACGGAUUCUUAACCUAAGAGAAAGAAGACUGGUGACUUGAUCAGACUCCGCUCACCUAGGCUCCCCAACCCAGGGGUAGGGCUAACACAGUGUUCUAGAGUAAGGGGAAGCCAGCUGGUCCAGCGGAUAGGAGACUGGACUUGGAAUUGGGAAGAUCUGACCUUCAAUCUGACACCAGGCACAUGUAGCAAUACGCCUCAGUUCCUUACCUGGAAUAGAAAUGGCAAAUCCUUCCAGAAGUCUUUGCCAAGAAAACCUCAUGGACAAGUUCAUGAAUCACAAAGAGUCAGAUGCAACUAAAUGAUUCAACAAUGCUCCUUGAGGAAGGAACGAUGUCUUCUAGGUGGACUUUUGAAGUUGGAAGAGAAAUCAGAG
rnacentral:lncRNA from 1 species